rnacentral:rRNA from 1 species
UACGUAGGAUCCAAGCGUUAUCCGGAAUUACUGGGCGUAAAGCGUGAGCAGGUGGUUUGAUAGGUCAGAUGCGAAAUCUUGCGGCUCAACCGUAUAGACUGUGUCUGAAACCAUCUAACUAGAGGUCGGUAGAGGCAAGCGGAAUUUGUAGUGUAGCAGUGAAAUGCGUAGAUAUUACAAGGAACACCAAUGGCGAAGUCAGCUUGCUGGGCCGCACCUGACACUCAGUCACGAAAGCGUGGGGAGCGAACGGG